UACAGGGGGUGCAAACGUUGCUCGGAAUCAUUGGGCGUAAAGAGCGCGCAGGCGGCUUGGUAAGUCGGAUGUGAAAUCCCGAGGCUCAACCUCGGGUCUGCAUCCGAUACUGCCCGGCUAGAGGUAGGUAGGGGAGAUCGGAAUUCCUGGUGUAGCGGUGAAAUGCGCAGAUAUCAGGAGGAACACCGGUGGCGAAGGCGGAUCUCUGGGCCUUACCUGACGCUCAGGCGCGAAAGCUAGGGGAGCGAACUGG
rnacentral:rRNA from 1 species